rfam:Daphnia pulex DAPPTscaffold_526_Cont9907, whole genome shotgun sequence.
GUUUCCAUAGUGUAGUGGUUAUCACGUCGUCUUUACACGCUAAAUGUCCUCAGUUCGAUCUUGGGUGGAAACA